rnacentral:rRNA from 1 species
CGCCUUAUACAUGCAAGUCGAACGCAGUAGCAAUACUGAGUGGCAGACGGGUGAGUAUGAUGUGGGAAUCUGCCUUUUGGUUUGGAAUAACUUGGGGAAACUUGAGCUAAUACCGGAUAAGCCCUUACGGGGAAAGCUUUAUGCGCCGAAAGAUGAGCCCGCACUUGAUUAGCUCGUUGGUGAGGUAAAAGCUCACCAAGGCAACGAUCAAUAGCUGUUCUUAGAGGAAGACCAGCCACAUUGGGACUGAGACACGGCCCAGACUCCUACGGGAGGCAGCAGUAAGGAAUCUUGCACAAUGGAGGAAACUCUGAUGCAGCGAUGCCGCGUGAGUGAAGAAGGCCUUUGGGUUGUAAAACUCUUUCGUUGGGGAAGAAAAUGACUGUACCCAAAUAAGAAGGUCCGGCUAACUUCGUGCCAGCAGCCGCGGUAAUACGAAGGGACCUAGCGUAGUUCGGAAUUACUGGGCUUAAAGAGCUCGUAGGUGGUUAAAAAAGUUGAUGGUGAAAUCCCAAGGCUUAACCUUGGAACUGCCAUCAAAACUCUUUAGCUAGAGUAUGAUAGAGGAAAGUGGAAUUUCUAGUGUAGAGGUGAAAUUCGUAGAUAUUAGAAAGAACACCAAAAGCGAAGGCAACUUUCUGGAUCAUUACUGACACUGAGGAGCGAAAGCAUGGGUAGCGAAGAGGAUUAGAUACCCUCGUAGUCCAUGCUGUAAACGAUGUGUGCUAGACGUUGGAAAUUUAUUUUCAGUGUCGCAGCAAAAGCAUUAAGCACACCGCCUGGGGAGUACGACCGC